rnacentral:rRNA from 1 species
UCAACCCUCAAGCUSUGCUUGGUCUUGGGCCCUGCCGGCAACGGCGGGCCUCAAAAACAGUGGCGGCGCCAUCGUGCUCUCAGCGUAGUAAUUCUUCUCGCUGUUGGGCCCCGGUGGCGGCUGGCCAGCAACCCCCAAUUUUCUAUGG